UACGUAGGUGACAAGCGUUGUCCGGAUUUACUGGGCGUAAAGAGCGCGCAGGCGGUCGAUCAAGUCGGGUGUGAAAGCCCCGGGCUCAACCUGGGAAUUGCAUUCGAGACUGAAUAGCUAGGGUACGGUAGAGGGAAGUGGAAUUUCCGGUGUAGCGGUGAAAUGCGUAGAUAUCGGAAGGAACAUCAGUGGCGAAAGCGACUUCCUGGACCAGUACCGACGUUCAGGCACGAAAGCGUGGGGAGCAAACAGG
rnacentral:rRNA from 1 species